rnacentral:lncRNA from 1 species
CGCCCCGCCCCGUGCCUCUCCGCCACCAGAGCUCACCGCCGGCCCAGCCGCUGGGCUGCCCCUGUACUGAGCAUUAUUUUGUGUACUUUGCCUCGAGUGGCCCUGGCCGGCUCGAGGGUUGCCCGCGGAGACCUCGACACACAAGGAGCACCGCAGUGUCAACCUGGUGACCUCAGGCGAGUGCGCACCUCCCGAGCGCUGUCCCCCGUGUCCCGCCGGAGUCCUCCCACGGUGAGCUUCUGCUGCAGCGGCCGGGCGGGCUAAACCCGUUCCCCUGGGUGAGCUGACUCCGGACCGACGCCGGCUUCGCUGCCCGGUGACUCACUGCCUGGGAGCUUAGGAGCCUUGGAAGUCCGGGAGACACAGGGGACACAGCUGCCAUUUCAUGUGGUUAACGCUUCCCUCCCACUGUCAUGAUUCCAGUGUUAAAUGAUUAUUUUUAUAUGACUUAAAACUUUUUCAUUUUAUUUUAUGGCCUGUUUAAGGCAAAAUUUAAGAGACUUUCUGGGCCCUAAAAUUUUCGUUUUUUCUAUUGUGAAAGAAAUCACAUUGUUUGGAUAUUUUACCUUGUUUUUCAGUUUUUAUGGACAGGACAGUGAGUGCACUUCCUGUUUCUUCAAGCAGAUCUGAUGCUUAAGCCCUCAACACGCUCAGCUGUUGCUGUAUGGGUUUAUUUCAAGAGUGUUGGUUCCUUUGACCUUGACAGCGCCCCCUCUCUCUUUCUCUUUCUCUUCUUUAACUCUAUUAUGGGCCUGGCUGCUGGAUACGUAGCUUGAUUCUGGGGUUCAUGGCAACUGGGCUGGAUGGUCGUGCUUUUCACCACAUGUGCCAGAAGUCCUGAUGCAGGAGGGAGUAAAGCCCACCCCAUUCCCACAAUCCCAGCCGUGUGGAACCAUCAGACCCCAUGACAGAAUGGGAAGUGGAUUCACUGUCCUGACUUUAAAAACUGAAAAUGGAGGCAAAGUACACAAAAUAAUGCUUUUUCCAAUCUUGCUCUACAGGUGUCACAGGGCAGUGACCCCUGAAUAAAGGGGGCAGGGAGUGAGCUACCUUUGCCCUCAGGCACUGGGCAGGCUGUUUUGGAACAGUGCACAGUGUCCUAGGAAGGAGACUGGGGGGUGUCUAAGGGGGGCAAAGAUGCUGGAAUUCACAGGGCAAAACUAUCCCAGAAGAGAGCCAGGAGGUUGGUAGAGGACUCCCACAACCUUCAACUGAGUUCUGAUCCUUGUGUGAGUUUGGGGAACCCUGGUAGGAGCCGGCAGACAAUCCCCAGAGCUAGCACUGAUCUGGGAGCUUCACUAGCGUGGCCAGGAGAAACCCUGCCAGUCACAGGCCAUGGUGGGCCUGCUCUGCAGGGACCUGCCUUAUGGCAGGCAAAUCAGCCCCUGCUGGCCCCAGGAUCACAGCUGAAGCACUCCUCAGAAGCUUCUGAUCACUUCCCAGAACAAAACUCAAAGUUUGAUCAAUGUGAAGCCCAUCCAGUGAAAUGCCUGACACAAUUAAGCAUCACUGGCCAGGCGGAGGAUGCAGACCAAUGACCAGAAACAAGCCUGGGAAUACAGAGAUGAGCGUCGAUGGCAAGGACAGGGAGACACAGCUGCCAUUUCAUGUGUCCCAGUGGGUAGAGGAGGACAUGAACAGGGGUGGAGGGGUGGGGGGGUGGGGAGGCAGCAGAGGAAGCUUAAAACAGAACCUGACUUCGAAAGGUGAAAGUAAGUUAGACUGAGAAAAUACACCGCAAAUACACGGGAUAGAGCAGAUUAGACUGCAGAAGACCGUCCGUGAACUUGAGGACACGUUAGGGUCCACUGGGAAGGAAGCACAGAGCAGCAGGCUGGAGCCCUGCCGGGCACCUUCAGGAGGGCUCACAUGGCACGGGGUCUCUGAGAGGAGGACCUCCAACAGGCAGGUAAUGGCCAAACGUUUUGUGAUCUGACGUAAGCCAUGAACUGUGGACCCAGAGGUUCAGCACAUCCCCGUGCACUGGAAACGGGGAGAGUGUCACCCCAGAGCACAUGGUAGUCACGUCACUUGUGACUGUGGAAAAGAGUCAGAUUUAAAAACGGACUUUUGUACAGAGGGUCAAAGAUAAGGCUGGCCAUGACUUCUUGUCAGAAUCAACACAGGCAUCAGAACAAAGGAGUGUCUAAAAUACCAGGACCCUCCCCAACCCCAAAUAAAGAGGAACACACACUCGUCAAUUUUGAAUUCUAUGCCCAGCAAAGAUAUCUUUGAAAAAUAAAGGUGAAAUGGAGAAGUCUCAGACACCAAGGCAGAAGGCUGUCUCUGAAGCCCUGAGAUAGAAGGGGAGACACAGAGUACCAGCCCUGGGAGGCACAUGGCAACUUUUCUGAUUUUUAGAUCAUUUUAGAAGAUAAUUGAUUGCUCGGGGCAGAAACAAUAAUAAGGUAUUAUGGAACUUUUAGCAACUUAGAGCCAAAGUGCCUGACAGAGAACAUGGAAGCUUACUGUUUUAAAGUAUUAGACUAAGUGUGGAAUGAUUUAUUUCUUCUUUUGGGGGAGGUGAGUCUUACACUGUGCUUCCCAGGCUGGUCUUGAACCCCUGGUCUCAAGUAAUUCUCCUGCUUCAGCUUCCUGAGUAGCUGGGACUACAGGUAUAUCUCAGCUCGAUGCAAUCAAUCUACUUUUCUUUCUUUCUUUCUCUUUCUUCUAGAGAUUAAACCUAGGGACACUCAACCACUGAGCCACAUCCCUUUAAAAAAAUUUUUAAAUAUUGAGACAGAGUCUUGCUAAGUUGCUGAGGGUCUUGCUUAGUUGCUGAGGUUGACUUUGAACUUCAAUCCUCCUGCCUCAACCUGCAGACUGCUGAGAUUCCAGGCAUGUGCCACUGUGUCCAGCACAAUAUUUCUUGAAGGUUGACUGUAAUAAGUUAAGGUGUAAGCAUUAAAUAAUGACUAAAGAAAAGAAAUAGGGAAACAUCAAGUUCUGGAUAAUGAAUCAACCAAGGAGACAACAUAAAAUCGUAACAAAAUUAACCUGUUUAUUAAAGAGAAGACAGAAAAAGAGGAAAAAGGGGGGGAAAAAAAAACAGAAGAGACAAGUGGAACAGGACUCCAUCUGACGCGCACCCACCAUGAUGCUCUAACCCUCCGCCAGAACAGGCGGACUGACGAGAGGAAGACUGACAGCCGCUGCCAGGAACCCCAGGGGACUCGUGCAAACACUAGGUUAGAACUGAAGAGUGGAGACAGAGGGAAGAGGACACCAAGGAAGAGAAAGAGCCAGGUGCAGUGGAGGUGGCACGGUCACAGGUUCAAGGCCAGCCUAGGCAGCUCAGUCAGACCCUGUCUCAAGGUUGAAAAAUGAAAAGGACUGAGAACGCAGUUUAGUGCUAGGGCACCCCUGGUCCAAUCCCCGGUACCACGGGGUGGGGAAAGGAAGCAGGAAGGACUUAGCGAUAUCCCACAGAGCAGGUUUCAAGCAAAGGAAGAAACCGGAGCAGGGGCCAUUUCCAAAUGGUAGAGGGUCAUCGGGGGACAGAGCAGCCUAAAGCUCAAGACCUGACACCGGACCUUCAAAGCACACAAAGCAGCAGACACUCCUGAUGGGAUGCAAGGUACGGGGGAGAGCCCCAGUGGCCGUGGGGGCACCCACAGAGCACUGUGUCCUGCAGAAAGAGAACACACCCAACCCCGACCAGGACAGCCUGGGUCCCAAGUCUCGAUGGACGUAUGAGGAUGGAAAUCAUGCAAAUUAUUUUCUUUUUGAGCUGCAAUGGGAUGAAAUUAGAUAUUAAUAACCAAGAUAUUGAUAAGAUUCCAAAUAUUUAGAAACUGGCUGACAACACAUUUCUAAAUAGCCUAUUGAUCAAUGGGGGGAUAAAAAAGGAAAUCAGAAAAUAUUUCCAUCUGAAGGAAGGUGAAAGGGGAGUCCUAGGCUGCAGAGGCAGCUGCCGCAGGCCCAGGGGCUGUGUUGGAGAGGGCAGGUCCUCGGGAAGGACCUGAUCUUCCACCUUCCGUGUAAUGGGGAGCCAUUCAGAAAACACUCUAAGUCCACAUUCAAAUCAAUGAGCGCUUGAUCUAUCUGGUCAGGGACUGUCACCCACCCAUUGAGACUGAAGCUCUGUGGCAGAACAGCAACCUCCUGGCCUGUAUCCUGGGAACGUAAAGACGUCAUGCAAGUAAGCCAAUCACAGGGGUCAACCAACAGUAAGCUGGACCUGCAAGCCCUAAGCAGGACUGGAAUUUUCCAGUUAGCAAGCAACGAGUACAGAAGCGAGAAAAGGCAUCAGCUCUGCAGCUCAGUUGACCACAGUCCCAGGUUCCAGCAGGCGCUAGGCAGUCGCCUCCUGAAUUGGGGCAGGGGUUGGUGGGAGCGAGAAUCUACCUCAAAGUCAUGCAUACCCACAAGGGCACCCAGGAUGUGGCUCCCCACGACCACCGCUGCAUCCUGAAGAGGGUACGGUUUGUGGGGUACAAAGUGCAGAAAAACAAUUCUUAUAAGAAAACAGCUUUCAUUUCAGCUCCUCAGAAACAGCUCUUAUAACAGUGUUUAUUUUUUAGCUGCAGUUGGACACUUCAUUCUGUUUAUUUAUUUAUUUAUUUAUUUUUAUGGGGUGCUGAGGACCGAGCCCAGGGCCUCGCACGUGCUGGGUGAGUGCUGUACCGCUGAGCCCCGGCCCAGCCCCAUUGCAACAGUUUUUUAGAGAAGGCAGCAAAAUGGAGGCUGAGGCCUGCCUGUGACAGUUCUUGCUUUAUAAUUGUCUUAUCUGACUCAUCAAGACCUUGUAUCUAUAAUCUGGUUUUUUUUUUUUUACUAAUCUAGAACCUGUAACUCACACUCUUACUGAUUCAUCAGUUCACAGCACAACACCAGAAAAUAGAACGUGAUGAGCAGACCAACCAGAGCAGGCAGCACAGGGGAGCUGUGAGAAGAAGAAGAGCAGCCACAGAAUCACGAGCUCGAAAGCGCUGGACCAAAGAGCGCCGGGAACCCACCUGUUGGUUCUUUGAGAGCAUCGGGGAGAAGACAGGUGGCACCAUCUAGCUUGUCCAUGGCCGGACCAGAAAGAGGGCCUGUCACAUGCCAACCCAGCUGGCUGGUAGCUGACCAGAAGGGCAGGUGCUGGGGCUGCCCCCCGGCCUUGUCCAGGAUGGGAUGCCCAUGCUAGGGGCCAGGGAGGCACAGACCCCCGUCCUUCCUUCUAGGGGGAAGCCAGGCCUGAUAGGCUGAGGACCAGUGUUUGGUGAGGCUGAAGAUGGCCUAGGGGCUGCCCUGGUGCUGGGCUGUGUGGAGCAUUUCUGCUAAGGCAGAGAGAAGCAGCCCUCCCUGUCUCACGUGGUCAGGAAUAUCCAGACCUCCUGGAGGGGUCAGCACCCACCUCUGGGUGGCCAUCCGGGAGCCCUGCCCCUUGCCAUCACCUCCCCAACAGCAUUGUGCAGGUUCUGGGCUUGGGCUCUACAGGGGGAGUCCCUCCUUGAGGGCACCAGGAAGGAGAGGGCAGGGCUGGGGCUCCCACUGGUCGGAAGCUCUGUCCACACCCACAGGGCCCUCACCUUUGCAGACCCUGCCCAGGGCUCUGGCCUGAGAUGGAUCCCAGUUAGGUUGGGGUCAGGUUGAUCCUAAGACCACUGAAGGGGCUGCCCAGUGGGGUCACGCCGAGGUAGCCAGGAGGCUAGUCAGGCCCCGGGGACUGCAGGCCACGGCACAGGGUCUGGCUAGGAGCUGUGGCUCUGGACUUGCUCUGGAGAGCUGCCCGGUCACAGGCACUGCUGCGCCACACAGGAGCCUGGCGCCCUUGAGAGUGUAGACAGCUUUGCACCCUGGCCUGGGGCCUGCACACGCCCACCCACCACCUCUGCUGUCCCUUUACUGGCCACCACUUUUAGAAACCCUCUCUGACCCGCCAGACGGCACUCACUCGGCCUAAUUUCUGGGGUGGGGGCACACUUCUCCCUGCCUCCAUGCUGGACACAGAGCCUCCCUUGCCCAAGGUGGCUGUUGCUGUCCCCUGGACUCUGUAGCUGGCUUGUUGUGGAGUGAGCAGGAGUCACUUCCCUGUUCCUGUCCUCUGUGUCCACAUGGGGAAUGGGUCUGCAUCAUGGGUGCCCCUGCCCUCGGCUCUGCCUGACUCCCACGUCCAGACUAUACCUUGUCCUGGGUGCCCAGCGGGGAUAGUGAGAGGCACACACGGGUUCUGGGUGGCUUGGUCAGGGGAAGAGAAUGAUCCUGGCAGGUGCCUUAAGACACCCGAUCUGGCAGCCACCAGGGGUGGCUGGUCCAAAAGGGGCCCCAGGAGCUCCUCCCUGCAGCCCUGGGGCACAGUUGCCAAUGGGAGCCGAUCACUGGGUGCUGUACAUGCAGCAAGAGGGAAAGCCUGCUGCCCUGCAGAGGCUGGAAGGAGGGGCAGUUGUUGGGAAAAGUAUAACGCCAGCCGCACCCCAGAGAAAAACCUCAACGUGGCGUCUAAGGACCAUCUCUUCCUACUUUCCCUUUUUUCCACUGGCUCGAAAAGUUCCCGCGGGUUGAACUCUCCCGCCGGCCCCAAUUUCAAAUCUCGCUGGCGGGGAACCUUAGCCCCAAUAAGAACUAAUUCCUGGGCUCUGGAGCUGAUAUCUGGAAGAACUUGCCAAUGAACGGGUGGCCUGCCAUUUACCUAAGCCCUGCCAUCUCCCCUUAGAUCUAUAUAAGCACAGAGCCUUUUGCAAUGAAAUUGGAACUCUCCCUGGCGA